CACGUAGGGCGCAAGCGUUGUCCGGAAUUAUUGGGCGUAAAGAGCUCGUAGGCGGUCUGUUGCGUCUGCUGUGAAAACUCGGGGCUUAACCCCGAGCCUGCAGUGGAUACGGGCAGACUAGAGGUAGGUAUGGGAGAAUGGAAUUCCCGGUGUAGCGGUGAAAUGCGCAGAUAUCGGGAGGAACACCAGUGGCGAAGGCGGUUGCCUGGAGCUUUGCUGACGCUGAGGCGCGAAAGCGUGGGGAGCGAUCCGG
rnacentral:rRNA from 1 species